AAUACAAAUUAUUUCAAAUUGCAAUAUAAAAUGUUCAAUUAUAAAAAGUUUGCAGCAGUAUUAAAAUAGUGCAAAUAGCUCAGAUGUGCAAUGCAGCAUUAAAACCUAACCGGUACAAUCAGAAAACAUAAUGUAAUUAAAACAAGGGAUGAAUUUAUUAUUUCAUGUAUAUUUGAGGUUAAUGUGUGUACUGGGCUACAUUUUAGUUACAGCAGCAUCACUGUGUUGUUAUGAAAUUAGUUGUGCCAGACAAUUUUGGACACUUUUACACUGAUGCAUAUAAUACUAUCUGCCUGACAUUGGCAUGUGUUAUUCAGGUGUCAAAGUUGUGCAGAACUGAAGGAAGAAACCUCAAAGACAGUGCCAAAAGGAUGCUGGAAAGGGUUUAAAAAAUUCCCUCAUGUCCAAAUUCAACAUUAAGGAGGUGGUCCACUGCAGAAGGAGUCAUUUGAAAAGACUGCACUGUUCUCAGUCAUUAGUGAUGCAGUGAUGACCAACUUCCCCGUAGCAACAGAGUUGUAUUUGAGGAAUGCAGUUGGGAAACAUUUUAUGCAACAACAAAAACAACAUAGUAUGUUUCCUUUGAGUUCACUGUUGGUUGUUUUA